AUGCAGACAGCUUGUCUCUCUAGCAAGAAGGCGGGGAACGCAAUGAAUUAGGUUGAUCGUCAAAUGCCUCUCUCCUCUCCAUAGAAAACAUUGGAGAGGGAGAGAAAGAGAAAGAGAGAAAGGGAUGCAUCAAGAAGGAGAGAGAG
rnacentral:ribozyme from 1 species